rnacentral:rRNA from 1 species
GACGAACGCUGGCGGCGUGCUUAACACAUGCAAGUCGAGCGGAAAGGCCACUUCGGUGGUACUCGAGCGGCGAACGGGUGAGUAACACGUGAGUAAUCUGCCCCUGGCUUUGGGAUAGCCACCGGAAACGGUGAUUAAUACCGGAUACGACCACUUCUCGCAUGGGAUGGUGGUGGAAAGUUUUUCGGCCAGGGAUGUGCUCGCGGCCUAUCAGCUUGAUGGUGAGGUAAUGGCUCACCAUGGCUUCGACGGGUAGCCGGCCUGAGAGGGUGACCGGUCACACUGGGACUGAGACACGGCCCAGACUCCUACGGGAGGCAGCAGUGGGGAAUAUUGGACAAUGGGCGGAAGCCUGAUCCAGCAACGCCGCGUGAGGGAUGACGGCCUUCGGGUUGUAAACCUCUUUCAGUACCGACGAAGCGCAAGUGACGGUAGGUACAGAAGAAGCACCGGCCAACUACGUGCCAGCCGCCGCCGUAAAAC